GAAUUCGCCCUUAGAGUUUGAUCCUGGCUCAGGAUGAGCGCUGGCGGCAUGCCUAACACAUGCAAGUCGAACGGGGUUUAUAUAACAGAACUCUCCGGAGGGAAGAUAUAUAAACCUAGUGGCGGACGGGUGAGUAACGCGUGGGCAACCUGCCCUGUACCGGGGGACAACAGCCAGAAAUGGCUGCUAAUACCGCAUAAGCCUGCGGUGCCGCAUGGCACAGCAGGGAAAACCACGGUGGUACAGGAUGGGCCCGCGUCUGAUUAGUUAGUUGGCAGGGUAACGGCCUACCAAGACGAUGAUCAGUAGCCGGCUUGAGAGAGUGGACGGCCACAUUGGGACUGAGAUACGGCCCAGACUCCUACGGGAGGCAGCAGUGGGGAAUAUUGGGCAAUGGACGCAAGUCUGACCCAGCAACGCCGCGUGAAGGAAGAAGGCUUUCGGGUUGUAAACUUCUUUUAAGGGGGAAGAGCAGAAGACGGUACCCCUUGAAUAAGCCACGGCUAACUACGUGCCAGCAGCCGCGGUAAUACGUAGGUGGCAAGCGUCGUCCGGAUUUACUGGGUGUAAAGGGCGUGCAGCCGGAGAGACAAGUCAGAUGUGAAAUCCGCAGGCUCAACCUGCGAACUGCAUUUGAAACUGUUUCCCUUGAGUAUCGGAGAGGUCAUCGGAAUUCCUAGUGUAGCGGUGAAAUGCGUAGAUAUUAGGAAGAACACCAGUGGCGAAGGCGGAUGACUGGACGACAACUGACGGUGAGGCGCGAAAGCGUGGGGAGCAAACAGGAUUAGAUACCCUGGUAGUCCACGCUGUAAACGAUCAAUACUAGGUGUGCGGGGACUGACCCCCUGCGUGCCGGAGUUAACACAAUAAGUAUUGCACCUGGGGAGUACGAUCGCAAGGUUGAAACUCAAAGGAAUUGACGGGGGCCCGCACAAGCGGUGGAUUAUGUGGUUUAAUUCGAAGCAACGCGAAGAACCUUACCAGGGCUUGACAUCCUACUAACGAAGUAGAGAUACAUCAGGUGCCCUUCGGGGAAAGUAGAGACAGGUGGUGCAUGGUUGUCGUCAGCUCGUGUCGUGAGAUGUUGGGUUAAGUCCCGCAACGAGCGCAACCCCUAUUGUUAGUUGCUACGCAAGAGCACUCUAGCGAGACUGCCGUUGACAAAACGGAGGAAGGCGGGGACGACGUCAAAUCAUCAUGCCCCUUAUGUCCUGGGCUACACACGUAAUACAAUGGCGGUCAACAGAGGGAUGCAAAGCCGCGAGGCCGAGCGAACCCCUAAAAGCCGUCCCAGUUCGGAUUGCAGGCUGCAACCCGCCUGCAUGAAGUCGGAAUCGCUAGUAAUCGCGGAUCAGCAUGCCGCGGUGAAUACGUUCCCGGGCCUUGUACACACCGCCCGUCA
rnacentral:rRNA from 1 species